GCGACUAACGAGAUAUUUAGCCAAGCAGGGCUGUGAGAGAGCUUGCAAAAAAGUUGCUUGGGUGAAUUCUCGUUCUCACGCUCUCCGGCCCCAAAUUAUCGGAACUUUCUUAUCGCCCAGCUGAGUUUGCCAAAGGAGCUUAAUCACCACCUUUAAACACUGCCGUGAGGUGGAAGAAUGAAAACUGUGAUCAGUCUUCAAGAAGGACUGCUGGCUUUAACCUACAUGUCUCCAGGACUGUAUUAUCCAGCCAGAAUUGUCCCAACCUACAAGAUCAUCUCAGCAGAAAAUUCUGCUGACCCCCAUUUCCAAAAAGUCUCAGGGACUAUUGCCAGGGAACACUGUUCUUCCACUGCAUGCCAACUCUCUGGAACAGCCUCCUUGGAUCCCUGGUUGGUCCCCUCCUGGACAACAUUCAGGAAAGAGCUAAACGCGCCGGGUCUUCUGCAGAGCCUUUCCUUAGGGUGGAGAUGCCAGCAGCUGCUCCUUGUUGUUUCACACCUUAAAUACUUUAUUUUUGGACUUACCCUGGAUGUUUAAUUUGUUUUGAGUUCAGUUAAAGGGUAUAUUUUAUUGUUCCUUUGUAUGGAUAGCUUAUGCUUUUGCUGUGAAGAACU